GGGAAACGUAUUAGACGUUUCAUUCGACUGUGUUAAUCCUCUACUCAAUGGUACAACGUUGGGUAAAGAGGAGCCAAGAUUAUUAUCUGCUGAUGAUGCGUUUUGAUAUAAAGAUGUCAUUGCUGAGUUGGUAGAUAGAGAUUGAGUAUUGCUAGAUACUAGUCGCCAUCCCGGAGGGACAAUUCCUGCUAUUCCACGGUUAAAGUUUGGAUUAUUUCCAGAAUUCGGAAAUGUUUGAGGGCCACCAUACGUGGAAUUCGAUGGAUCCCCAGUAGUAGGCGUAGCACUAGGAUUUGUCGUUGAUGUGGAUUGAGAAUAAGUCGGAAUACGACGCGUUCCAGGAAUUGGAAGCAUAGUCCAACCAUCACGUAAGGCAAUUCUCCUUGGGAUCACUGACGAAAGAUCUUGAGUAUGAGCUGCAAAUCCACUACUAUUCGCAUUUGGCACUCCAUUGAAAGUUGAUGCCUGAGGGUCUCCUUGAUUAGAAGAGUUAGUGAUGCCUGGUACUGCAGUUGUGGUAGGAGUGUUUUGCGGGUUAGGAACUUGGGUUGCGAUUUGAGUAGCUCGAACAUUGGGACUUGCAGGAAUUCCCGUUGGGGAAGAUUGAUUUCCAAUAACGGAUCUUCUACAAAUUGGACAUGUUUGUUGUCUUUCUAGCCAAUUUCUAAGGCAAUGGAAAUGUAAAAUAUGGCCACAGGGAAGCCGUUUAGGAGUCAUAUCUAAACCUCUAGGUAGAGGUUCCAUUUCGUCGGUGUUUUCUGGAGGAUGAUCUGGAUGAAACAUUUCUUCCCUACAAAUAGUACAUGUUCUAUCUGAAUUCGUAAGCUGUUCUUCAGUAGCAGUUGGAUACAUGGCGUUCAUAUCGCGAGUUGCUUGUCGGAAACGCGCAUGCUCACGUAUACGCCUGAACAACGAGUAAAAACAUGUGUACAUUUGACGGAUGGAAUAAAUAGGAACUGAGACAUAGGGAAAUUGAUACAUGAAUAAAAGGCUGUAUGCAAGAAGGCGUAAACCAUCUCGACAAACCUCAAGUCGGAAAAGAUAAGUACUUUUUUCAUCCCAAACCUGAUCGAGGUGUCUAGCCUCAUACAAAUAUAUGCAAAGCUUAGAUGCCUCAAUUGUGAGAUUUAAAAGGAGGACCGAGAAUUCACAUACGAAAAGCAUACGUGUCGAUUUAUCGCCAAGAUGCUCGCUCGUAAAACAAAGGUAAAUAAGAGAUGCAUCCAGUAUAGAAAGUACAAAGUAUGCGCAAGUUAGGCGACUGAAAAUAUGAAAACGCUGAUCUGUAAGCUGAAUCUGCAAUCUUUCUGUGCGAAAAGAACAUAUGGAAUGAAACACCCGAGCAAACAUCAAAGUACUUAACAACAUAAAGAAAGAAAUAGAUAUGGCUUCUCUAAAAACAGUGAUCGCAAGCAUUAUUUCAGUAAGGGUUAUCCAAAAUUGUUCAUAUAAAAGCUCAAGUUCGAAUGUCUGAAGCGAACCAAACAAUAAUGUUUUUAAGGCAUUGGCAAUCGCAAAAAACAGACAUAAACAAACGUUCAGUCCAAUUGUUAUAUGAACAGGACUUUGAGAAAUCAUUACUGUCGCCGAGUACACGUUUGCACUACUGUACAAACUCAACAAGACUGACAGUCCAAACAGCACCAAGGAAGCCUAUACAAGAUUAGAUUAACUGGAAAACAUAAUUAAAACUUACUAACACAUAUAGUAUAAACUUCAUAUUAUUAAAUUAUUUGGUGUUGUCCGUCAAUAUGGGGAAACGUCAAGAUGUCACGACAUGAACAAUAUCGCUCGCACUGCUCGGUAAUAUCCGGACUUUUAUGGCAACCAACAAUUCCGGCCACUCC
rnacentral:lncRNA from 1 species